rnacentral:rRNA from 1 species
AAAAGCUCCUAAGCUUCAGCUUACGCAGACCGUACCGUAAACCGACACAGGUGGGUAGGAUGAGAAUUCUCAGGCGCUUGAGAGAACUCGGGUGAAGGAACUAGGCAACAUGGCACCGUAACUUCGGGAGAAGGUGCACCCUUUUGGUGGCUCGUGCGAGCUAUAGCUGAAGAGGGUCGCAGUAACCAGGCCGCUGCGACUGUUUAUCAAAAA